CGACUGCGCCGAGCGGUUGCGCCCCGUCAUACCGAAAGGUCACGGAGUGAGGAAAGUCCGGGCUCCAUAGAGCAGGAUAACGGAUAACGUCCGCCGAAGGCGACUUUAGGGCUAGUGCAACAGAAAUAAACCGCCUCGUUUUAACGGGGUAAGGAUGGAAAGGCAGGGUAAGAGCCUACCGGCGCACAGGAGACUGUGCGGCCAUGUAAACCCUAUCCGGAGCAACACCGUAUGGGAGCGUUAUUGCUUGCUCGGCAAGCUCCUGGGUGGCAAAGAGGCUUGCGGUAACGUAAGUCCAAGAUAGAUGACCGCUUAAGACAGAACCCGGCUUACAGACGCAGUCAUUCU
rnacentral:RNase_P_RNA from 1 species